AGAACGAACGCUGGCGGCAGGCUUAACACAUGCAAGUCGAACGCCCCGCAAGGGGAGUGGCAGACGGGUGAGUAACGCGUGGGAAUCUACCUGGUUCUACGGAAUAACUGAGGGAAACUUCAGCUAAUACCGUAUACGCCCUAAGGGGGAAAGAUUUAUCGGUGCCAGAUGAGCCCGCGUUGGAUUAGCUAGUUGGUGGGUAAUGGCCUACCAAGGCGACGAUCCAUAGCUGGUCUGAGAGGAUGAUCAGCCACACUGGGACUGAGACACGGCCCAGACUCCUACGGGAGGCAGCAGUGGGGAAUAUUGGACAAUGGCGAAAGCCUGAUCCAGCCAUGCCGCGUGAGUGAUGAAGGCCUUAGGGUUGUAAAGCUCUUUCAGUGGGGAAGAUAAUGACGGUACCACAGAAGAAGCCCGGCUAACUUCGCGCCAGCAGCCGC
rnacentral:rRNA from 1 species